rnacentral:rRNA from 1 species
AGCUAGGGGAGCGAACAGGAUUAGAGACCCUGGUAGUCCUAGCUGUAAACGCUGGGUGCUAGGUGUGGGACGUAAGAAGUUCCGUGCCGGAGCAAACGCGAUAAGCACCCCGCCUGGGAAUUACGGUCGCAAGGCUAAAACUCAAACGAAUUGACGGGGCCCCGCACAAGCAGCGGAGCGUGUGGUUCAAUUCGAUGCUUACACGAAGAACCUUACCUGGGUUUGACAUGUACGUGGUACGAAGGCGAAAGCCUAAGGACCCUUCGGGGAGCGUACACAGGUGCUGCAUGGCUGUCGUCAGCUCGUGCCGUGAGGUGUCGGGUUAAGUCCCGUAACGAGCGCAACCCUUGCCCUUAGUUACAAGUGUCUAAGGGGACUGCCGGCGGGAAGCCGGAGGAAGGUGGGGAUGACGUCAAGUCAGCAUGGCCCUUAUGUCCAGGGCUACACACACGCUACAAUGGUCAGUACAAAGGGUAGCGAAGUCGCGAGGCGGAGCGAAUCUCAACAAAGCUGAUCGUAGUUCGGAUUGCAGGCUGCAACCCGCCUGCAUGAAGCUGGAGUUGCUAGUAACCGCGCGUCAGCCAUAGUGCGGUGAAUACGUACCCGGGGCUUGUACACACCGCCCGUCACGUCAUGGGAGUCGGUAACGCCUGAAGCCGGUGGUCUGGCCCGCAAGGGGGGACGCUGUCGAA